rnacentral:sRNA from 1 species
UACUUGCAAGUUACAACAGCUAAUAUGGGCAGAUAUUGACAACUUAUCUUCAAAGUUCAAAGGACCAAAUCUUUUUUGUCUAGUCCUUUUUAGAGUAUCAAAUAUUCUUCUAGUUUAGGAUUCUAUUUCAAGGAAAAACACAUUUGAAAAAUUCUUUCCAAUAGUACAUCAUUCAAACAUUUAUAUAGAGUUUAAUACAUGAGCUUAUAUUCCAAACAAGCAUUUUGAAAACAUUUCUUUCAAAACAGGCACUCUAAACAGUAAAAGCAUAUAAUAACUCCAAUUUUUAUUGUUACGGACAUUUUUGCCCUUAAACUAUGAGCUGGAGUUGAGAAUGAGGUGAAAAGAAUGCGUUUAUCUUCUAAAAAAUGCAUCUCCAUCUCUGAUUCAAUUUUAAGUUUCUUUUGACAUUCAGAGAUAUAUGGCUUAGAUAGUGGACUUGCAGCUUUGACGGUAGGCGUGAAGCUUUGACGGUAGCACAAAGAUUUGGUGGUGGUUCACGGCUUUGACGGCGAGGGGUAACGAACGGCGUCAAUGGUAAACGCUAUACCCUAGAAUUAGACUUGUAAACCCAAACCGUCAAAUAUACAGUCUACAAUUCUUACAUACACACAAUAACACAACACUACAACCAUCCUCAUUAUCAUCAAACACCAUUAACAUGAACAAAAAUCAAUGUACUUGUAGACAUGAUUAUGAACAUCAAUUGAGCAAUCAACAAAGUAUCAAUCACUUCUUGAGUUCCUUAACCUGCACAAAAAUCACUGAACAAAAAAACGUGCAAAUCGUAAUACCAAAUCGUGGGACUUUUUUGUUUCUUGUUUUUUUUUUCCAGAUCUCAAAAUGUGGGAUGUUAAAAAUCUAGAUCGCAUUCACAUCUCAUGAGGACCAAUUGUUAGUCGUCUGAAUUUCUAAUCGUCGCUGACAUCACUCUGUAAUCAAUGACUCCAAAGUUGUUGGUGUUGGUCGCAAGUAUUUUUGAUUUCUAAUGUAAAACGUAAAAGUUCAUCAACAAAGAAAGAGCAACAUCAUCUCUCUGUAAGGGUAAAAACGACUUUCCCCAGGAAAGAAGUGCCUAAAUCUGCCUAAAAUAAAAUAUAUAUCUAAGACAAAUGCCUUAUUUGCAAUAAACUCUUAAUACAUCACACUACCCUUUUAUUAUAUACUUUACUUGUUUUUAUUUUUUUAUGUAAACAAAAUUACAUGUUAUUGUUUUAUACCUGACUUCAGAAAUUUAUGGCAACAAUAAACAAAUAAUAAAAAGAAAAACCCAUUUUCCACAUUAAAAUCAUAUAAUGCGUUAUUAGUUAGUUAAUUGUCAAAGAAAUACACAAUAAUAUUUGAUGCUUAAACGAUGCAACCUAUUAUUCAGUUGUUUCUUUUAUUUUUGUGAUGGUGUAAAUGUUACUUUGACGUUUAACUUUAGAUUUUAGAAAACUUUCUCCUCUGUUUAUUGUAAACAUAAGCUUAAAGAACUCUCUACUUACUAAGCCCUUUUUUGCCUCCAAAGAAGAAGAAGAAGAAGAAAGGAAAAGCUCCACUCAUGUAUAGACUCCCAAACUGGAUUUUGCUUUGUGGAUGUUUUGUUUACAGUCUCGACGUUUUCUGCUCAAAUGCG